rnacentral:sRNA from 18 species
GGCGGCGUGCUGCUCAGCCCGUUUCUGAUCUACGUGUUGAUGGCGCUGUUGCUCACCGGCGUGCUGCGCCUGGUGGUCCAGGCCACCCCCCUGGGGCGCUGGAUCUGGCAUGAAGCGCUGUUCGACGCGGCGUUG